CAAGCAUUGUACUAUGUAACUUAUUCAUUGAAUGCUAUGAAAUGAGAUUAGCUCAUUAAUUUGGAAUUUAAAUACAAAUGAAGACUAUUUAAAAUAAAAAUAAAAAAGGGGUUAAUAUUACCAUUGGUGGAUGGUUUUUCAGCAUGUCCUUGUCCUACAUACAACUGUUAGAAAAGACACAUGCCCUGACAGAAGAAAUACCCUCCCG